UUUAAUAUUUCAAACUUAGAAAGUCUGCUUUUUUUGUCACAAGAACACUGCCAAGUUGUGAUGCUUCCUCAACUAAAUCUACAAACAUAAUAAAAACUCAAUUAAACAUUCAAUGGCAAAAGGAAUUUUUUUUAAAAUAAAGAUUUACAUGAAGCUGGAAGCUAGUUCAAGAGUAAAAAAAAAAAAAAAUUAACUUGAAUAUUUCAAACUUGUUCCUUAUUUUGAACAAAGUUUAAAACUUACUUCAUUGUGCAUCACUUUGCUUGAUUGCUUAGCUUUAAAAUCAGCUUAAAUGCUGGGUGUAACAAAUGUAUCACCCAACCAGUGAUAUGGACAGACUGAUCAAAGAUCUCAUGCUGUAGUUAUUAAGGCCAGAAGGUACGGCACAACCGCCAACACGAAGAGACAAUCUGUUAUACUGCACUAUGCUCAUCAGUAAAAGAAUAAAGUUUCAAGAGACAGGAUGACUCCACUUUGACAGGGACAUGACACAUCACCUAGAAUUUGAUCCGAGUUGAAGUAUCAACUCACCAAGAGGAGCAUAAUGUUCAAGAGUUCAGACUGAGCUGCAGAUGAAUGGGAGUCAUUUGACCUCUGAUCUCCAGUCAUUCUUGCCUUCAUGUUUAAGGCUUUUGUUCUCGCAGUGCACACGCCAACAAUGAACUUUAUUGUUCAAAAUCACUUUGAUUGUGGAUUUGAAGACAUCUGACUGUCCAGUGCCCAACAAAGAACUUCAGUAUAAUCAGAAAUGCAUGAUGUUGUUGCUCAUUUCACCAAACCCGAUUAUUGUUUAGACCCCAAUCAUGAAUUCAUUUUUGUAACUGAAUGGGCUGAACCAGAAUUGAAUCAGCAUAUGCAGCAAACAGGUUAUUUUUUCAAAAGUCCAAAAAAUUUCUUUAGAGAAAGUGCCAUACAUUGGGUUGUGUGAAGCAGAGUAAAGCAAUGUUGCUCCUCCAUAACUUUUUGCUGUAUGUGGCCAGUCAACUGGCUGAAAUAAGGCUAAUUAAUAUCGGGGGUUUUUUUCUUGCUUAAUAGAUAGACAAAUUUUGUUGUGUCGAAAUAAAACUGAACUAUCCUGGAAUGUAGGCUAAUUAAUUGGACUGUUAUGCAUAAAUACUAUUAAAUGGGCUGCAUCAUAUUAAAGUAUGGAAUUGUAGUAUCGCUGAAAAUGCCAUCUUUUAAUACAAAUAACCAACACUUUCUUAAGCAUCACACUGCGUUUUAGUAUUAAAAAUAUACAUCAGAUGUGAGCUUGAAGGACUGGCCAAAUAUGGAUAUGAAACUAUGAACAACAUUUAUAUAAUAUAUGCUACCAAAUAUGGCACUCAAGUGUGAUUGUGACAGCUCUAGUCCUUUUGAAUUAUGCUACCAGUUUAAAUGCUACAGUUCAUAACCUGCUUGCAAGAUAUCUAGUAUGUAGCUGAUUGUAUGCUGGCAACCCAUGCUAAUUUGAAAGCUUUGCUACUUUAAGAGUAAAAUGGGAAAAGCUUAGCAAAGAUAUUCUGCACAUAAAGCACUUGAAAACUAGUGCAACAUUUUUGAGCUUAGCUCAAGUCCAUGUAUCAACAGUAAAACUGCAAAAAAAAAAUAAAUAAAUAAAUAAAUAAAUAAAUAAAUAAAUAACAUUUCAUCAACCCAUGCCUUAAUGUUAUGUUUUAUAGAUGAAUAGUUGGUGUGGUGCCAACUCUUCAACUCUCUAUAUUAAAGAGAAAAAUAGAUUUUGAUUACUUUCUACAAUAUCUAGACUUAGAAUUUGGGUAAAAUGCGUCAUAUCUUCAACUUGACAUCAUAAAUUUCAAGUUAAGAGCUUAUCUGAUCUCUGGUCCUGGUCUUGAAGCAGAGACAAACUGUUGAAAUCCCCUUAGUAAAAAAAUGCGGCAGCCUUAACAAUAACCGCUAUGUUGGUUGGAUUACUGUUUUUGCUCAAGCCAAAUAUUUGCAUAAGUUAUAAAUAUGCAGCUUCUGGAUUGGACAAAUACAUUACAAGGAAACCCCUGCAAAUAUUUAUCCUAAAAGACAUUUGGGUUUCCAAAGAUGUGACCAUAAGCUGGAGUUUGAGCUGCAAUGUCUGCAAAACAAGCCUUGAAAGUGCAAAAUAAAUUAGAAGUCACAGUAAUUACUGUUUGCCCCACACAGAAACAGCAACACUAAACACUGAGCACAUGCAUGCCUUAAAACAUUUGAACAUUUUACUAAAAGGCACCUUUGUUAACUGGAAUAAGCAGGUAUAUUCAGAGCUCUCUGCAUGAUUAUAUAAACAAAACAGCUGCUAGUGUGAGUCAGUGUUUAAAUAGAAGGCUUGAAGUCUACUUCUAUAAAGCAGCUCCAAAACAUUGACAUUCAGCUUUGUCUCUUCUUCUACACACCACAGCUAAAAGUUGUGAAAACUUAGCCCUAUCUAUUCAUCUCAGCACUAGUUCUCAGUAUUGGACGCCUUUGACGCCAAACUCAUAGAUUACUUCUGUUUAACUAUUAACUCGUGCGUCAGCUGACUUCCCAGAAACUGGUGCUUUUUUUAAACAGAAGGGCGUGCUGUUGCUACAGGGAAGCAGACUUGCUCACAACCAAUACCCACGCUCAAAAGGCGGUUCCUCCUCAGUAUCAGGUUUCAGUUCUGAGAAAGAAGCUGUUGAACAUAACAUUUGAGCAAUAGAAUGGUGAAAUGGAGUCAUUGGUUUUCAGACCUAACAGAGUAACUCUAGUUCCUGCAGAUAUUUUCUCAUGCAUCAGGACACAUUUCCCUAGUAAAGCAAACAAAAAGUCAAAACUACUAAAAGUGUUUAAAAAUUCUCAAAGAAACUAAACUGGUACUCAUAAAGGCCAAUUUAGUAUUGGGCUUCUUUAUCUGGGUAGAUAUCUACCCAUGCAGAGAGCAGUUUUAAAACCACUCCUUUAAGACCAUCCCAUGAAAGGAAUGCAUUUACCUGCUUUAAAGCUUUCUGUUUUGCAGCUGCACCUCUCUCAUAGUUCAGAAGCUGCAAAGUUAGAUUCAAUAAGUCUGGUAAACUACAACAGAUGUACACUUUUAAAGCAAGCAACUAACAUUUAGAACAGAAACGGUACAAAAAAUAUCCUUGAUUAUGCUGAUUUGCUUAAAGAGGUUUUGUUAAACAAGGAAGCGGUUCAGAUGUGUUGCUUCCCAGAAUAUUUUCAAUUAGUUUGAGUUCAGGUUUGGAAACUAAAGAGUUAAUCUGACCAAACCAGUUUGAGUUUCGUCUUCUUUCACCAUGAGUCACUAUAGCAGAAUUCUCUUCUGAAAUUGAGAGAACAUCUAGAUAAAAACCUCUCAUCUAUUUUUUUUUUUUACUUCUGUAAGAAUUUCACAGGAGAAAUUUCAUUUACAAACAAGCAAAAGAGAAAAAAAACAAAGUUAAAGCCUGGAUAACUUCCUGUUCUUGUAUGGCACUCCCUGCUUUCUGUACAACCAAUCCUCUUGGUAAAUGCUGCAAACAGCAAUUUGAAUUUGCCUCAGCUUUUAUUUCCCCCGAGCUAAAUGGCCUAUUCUUCAAUGAGCCAUGUACAGGUAACUAAGAAUGUAACCAACAUCAUUAUUCACAGGAGUAAACCAGAGAAGGCCAGCUGUGAAUCAUCUCCAUGGAGAAUCUCCCCUUCUUAUCCUCCACAUGUUUGUUCUGUAACCGUAGACUACAGCACGAUCUGAAAACAAGGUGAAGUCCCAAAUCAUCACCAUGGUUUUCCCUGCUAGAGGCUUGAUGUGGUGGAAACAGAAUAUUUAUGGCAUCAAGAGGGCCAGAGAAUUGAUACGAAGAAUGUCAACCCUUGGUUGGAACCAAUAAAACAUGUUUAAGUCAUCAGUUUCUAGGUAGCUGAAGCCUGUCUGAAUCAGGAUGUGGAUGUUAUGCAACUCUGAAGAUGUUUUGAACCCCUUUGACCCUAGUUCAGCACUUUGAGCUUUUGCACCAGCUUUGCAUAGAAAACUCUGCAACUUGCAAAACUGCAGAUGCAACCCUGAGCUCAGUCAAAUAGGAGGUGCUCAAAUUUCGAGGAAACUGCAGCAAGCACUAUAUUGGUUGUGGUGUGAAUAAACAGAGGUUAUGCGUUAACAAGUGUCAGACAUUUACAGCACAUAUCCUAUUGGUUGUUUAAUGUGAUUAAGCAAGACUCCCUGUUCAGAAAGACAUUAUCAAAAGGUCAAACAGUUUAAUUUGUUUUAUUGAGCUUAAAUCUGAAUGUAGCCAUUGGUGUCUCCAGACAGAGUAAUUUGAACAAUGACAUACUAUGUGCAAAUCAAUCCCUCUACCCCCAACGUUUGUGAAAUAUUCAGAUACUUUCCAAAUGCUCACCAAAGUUUUCAAGGAAUGGGUGUCAUGCCUGCAAAAUGUUAUGGAUAAAUGGCUAGUUUCUACUGGUUUGGCCUGUGGCUUCAUUAAAAAUGUUUAAUUCUAGUUGUAAACAGAUUGCCCCACCCUGACCCCCCAAAAAAGAUUUAAAUUAAAAAUGAGCUAAACAGUAGCAUAAUCAUUGAUUUUACAUACAAUAUAUUUUCAUUAGAAAAAUAAAUUUAUUCAUAUUUAAAUAAGUUUCCUUGCAAAACAAAUACAACUGAUGGCAAAAACGUAUUUAGAAACAAAAACAUGAAUCCUCAAAUGGUGAAAGAUAUUCAAAAUUAAACUUCCAUUUUAGAAUCCAAAACAGAAAGUGGAGACAGGAAAGUCCCUUAAGGUCUCAGC